CCUACGGGAGGCUGCAGUGGGGAAUAUUGGACAAUGGGGGGAACCCUGAUCCAGCCAUGCCGCGUGUGUGAAGAAGGCCCUCGGGUUGUAAAGCACUUUCAGUGAGGAAGAACGCCUGGUGGUUAAUACCCAUCAGGAAAGACAUCACUCACAGAAGAAGCACCGGCUAACUCCGUGCCAGCAGCCGCGGUAAUACGGAGGGUGCGAGCGUUAAUCGGAAUUACUGGGCGUAAAGCGCGCGUAGGUGGCUUGAUAAGUCGGUUGUGAAAGCCCCGGGCUCAACCUGGGAACGGCAUCCGGAACUGUCAAGCUAGAGUGCAGGAGAGGAAGGUAGAAUUCCCGGUGUAGCGGUGAAAUGCGUAGAGAUCGGGAGGAAUACCAGUGGCGAAGGCGGCCUUCUGGACUGACACUGACACUGAGGUGCGAAAGCGUGGGUAGCAAACAGGAUUAGAUACCCUGGUAGUC
rnacentral:rRNA from 1 species